rnacentral:lncRNA from 1 species
CCUACCGGUUGGAACGUCCUGUACUGGAUCCUCGCCACGGUAUGCUUCUUCACCAGGCUGGUCGUCAGACUCCAUGUUUUCCAUCUCAAUGCCGUCAUCGACUUCAAUGCCAUCCUCCCCGUGAGAAGUCCACCUUGAAUAACCAGACACAAAUCCCCGCAUGAGCAAGUGCAUCUUGACAUCCUCUGGCUCGUACAGUUUGCUGUUCCGACAUCUCACACAGGGACAACACAUCUUUUCACCCCUUUUCCUAUGCAUAUCUUCCACGCCGGCAUCGACAAAAGUCUUCAGCCGCUCUAUCCACUCAACACGUAACUUGUCCUCGUACAUCCAAGCACGGCCCAUUGAGCUACAACACAAUUUUAAAAAAAAAUAAACGAAUUAGCUUGAUCGACAAAAAUGGAAAAUUUCGGCAUGACCUUUGCUAAAAAAGUAGCAUUUCAGACUACGAAAUUCGAUGCCUGCAUCAAAAACAAAUUACCCCCACCC